UGGACCUACGGGGCGCAGCAGUCGAGAAUCAUUCACAAUGGGGGAAACCCUGAUGGUGCGACGCCGCGUGGGGGAAUGAAGGUCUUCGGAUUGUAAACCCCUGUCAUGUGGGAGCAAAUUAAAAAGAUAGUACCACGAGAGGAAGAUACGGCUAACUCUGUGCCAGCAGCCGCGGUAAUACAGAGGUCUCAAGCGUUGUUCGGAAUCGCUGUGCGUAACGCGUGCGUAGGCUGUUUCGUAAGUCGUGUGUGAAAGGCGCGGGCUC
rnacentral:rRNA from 1 species